CGCAGUCCCGCUACCAAAAAUUACGUGCCCGAGAUAUUCCUAUUUGGAAUACUCGCAGGGGUCAACCGUCCCGGUGUGCAAUGGGACGGUCUCGUCCUAGAGGAACCGCCUCGGUGAUCACGGUUGACCUCGACACCAAGUAAGUAUGCCGAGUGCCGUUGCGUUCGCGUUUAAGUAACGCGACCGGCCCGCCGCGCCGGUGUAGAACCGCCACGCGGACGCGCUCCGACCAGCGACCGCUCGGGUCCGCCGGACGUCCCGACACGUCCAAAACCCAUCGCUAUCGGUCCGACGGAAGCUGUGCCGCGGUCGCAGAUGGUUCGCGUCGAGGUCGCGGUCCACGGACCGCAGACUCGCGGCCCAAAGAGAUCGGAGCCAGACGGAUUGCGAUAACACCGCCAUCUAGUGGCGGCGGAUUCGCGUUCGGUCGGGUAUCGAGUACCAGACGCGGCCGCGAGUGUCUCGUAAAUCGCGCGCGGCACGUCCGAGUUUGCGUCGCAAAGUCCGCAACCCGACGUUGUUAUGCGCGACACAUUCCAAUAAACGGCCGUACGGGCCGGGAUCAUGCCGAAUAGUAUGGACCACGACAUAGAUAAGGAAGUCUUUCCUUUGUCUAUGGACCACGAAAAGGUGUGGGUUAAGGGGAUUACACGAGACACGCGUUUCGACGAUGUCCGGCGGUAGCGCGAGCACCGUCCUCUAAAUUUAUCACCCGUCGUUGCAGCGUUUCCUGAAAUGUAGCUAGACUCGGGUUUAAAACUUGCCAAAAUAUUUAACGUUGGCGAGUCACGAUAUUUAAAAGUAUUGGUCUGGUGAACUUUUGGCGAUACCGUUGAACAGAGCCAUUGCCGUUGGCCGUUCUACGCGAAGCGGUUAUAAUGGCGCGUGUCGACAAUAGUAUAAACAAAAACAUUUUUAAACGUUUCAAAAAAAAAAAAAAAAAAUCGUGUACAGACGUCUCGAGUGUUUGAAAACAAGCUGUUAUUGAUAUUUACAGAACGAUUUGAGUGAUGAGCCUAAUUAAACAGAAACAUCGGCAAAUUAUUUUCCAACAACAAUUCCUGUCUAAUAAUAUUAUGUAAAAUAGUCAAUAUGUUGCAGUGUAGUACCAUGAAAAAUACCAAUACGUCAUAGUUCUAAUAUCCCAAGGUGUGUAAGAUGGAGAAAACAUAUGCGGGUGAGACGUCCUUUUAAUGUAAGCUAAAAUUGAAUAAUUAACAUGUUAUGAAUAUUAAAUUUGAUGGUUAAGCACACACAUGAUGUUCACAUAAGUGAAUUAACCUAUUUAUUAAAUUAAUAGGAAAGAAUUUAAUCUAGAAAAGGUUUUUUUUUUACAUAAUUUUAAAAUGUUUAAAACUUGUUUAAAAAUUAUACCCUUUCAAGAUACCCUAUAUAGUGUUCUUGUUUUUGCUUUAAAACUAAUACAAUAUGUAAAAACCUUUUUAUAAUACACAGGAAAUUUUGUUUAUAAGAUAAAUAAAAAUAAAUUACAACAUUUAAAAAAAAAUGAAAAUUUGAGAGAAUGAGCGAUAUUAAUUGGAAAUUUGAGUUUGAGAUAACAUUCUUAACUACAAAUUUGAUAAUUUGGUCAUUUAUACUAAUAUUAAUAACAGCUAAACAAUUUCUUAUGAAUGUAAUAUUUUCUAUGGUAUGUCAGUAAAAUCUUUACACAAUAGGUACAUGUAAGUAAUGUUCUAUUAAAUGUUUAUAAAAAGUCAAUUUUCUCUGAUAUUUAUAUUUAACAUAAAAUUGGUUCUGCUGAACUCAAAUUUGCUAUGCUGUAUAUAUAAAUAAAAAAUACAACACUUGAUUACAAUAUAGAGAAUAUAAUGACUCAGUACUUUUUCUAUAUUUUCUUAAAUUAUUUAUUUG